UACGUAGGGUGCGAGCGUUAAUCGGAAUUACUGGGCGUAAAGGGUGCGUAGGCGGUUGGGUAAGUCUGUCGUGAAAUCUCCGAGCCUAACUCGGAAACUGCGUCGGAUACUAUUCAACUCGAGGAAUGGAGGGGAGACUGGAAUUCUCGGUGUAGCAGUGAAAUGCGUAGAUAUCGAGAGGAACACCAGUGGCGAAGGCGAGUCUCUGGACAUUUCCUGACGCUGAGGCACGAAAGCCAGGGGAGCAAACGGG
rnacentral:rRNA from 1 species